UACGAGGGGAGCAAGCGUUGUUCGGAUUUACUGGGCGUAAAGGGCGCGUAGGCGGCGUGGUAAGUCACUUGUGAAAUCUCCGGGCUUAACUCGGAACGGUCAAGUGAUACUGCUGUGCUAGAGUGCGGAAGGGGCAACUGGAAUUCUCGGUGUAGCGGUGAAAUGCGUAGAUAAUCGAGAGGAACACCUGCGGCGAAGGCGGGUUGCUGGGCCGACACGUGACGCUGAAGCGCGAAAGCUAGGGGAGCGAACGGG
rnacentral:rRNA from 1 species